rnacentral:miRNA from 1 species
UGGCCUCCGCAGGGUUGAAGCU